rnacentral:rRNA from 1 species
UAAAUUUCACUUGUUUAAAUAUUGGUAGUGCAUACUAUUACAAUAAAAUUUCAUGUGAAUGAAAAAUAGAAACAAAGGGUAGAGUAAAUAUUAGUUUUAUUGUUUCAUACUAAAAAUUAUANUUAUUAGAGUUGAUAUGUCGACCUUUGUGANAACUGUUUUUAUUUUUAUAUUAGAAAAUUAUAUAUUAUAUAAUUAUUUUAGGAAAUUUAAAAUUUGAAGUGUUUUAAAUUUAUGUUUUACAACAUUUUCCUAAUUUUAUUUAAGUUUAAUUUUUAAUUUAAUAAAGUUUUAUUAAAUAAAUAAUUUGUAAAUUAGUAAAUUUUAUAAAUUUAAUUUAUUAUUAAAAUAUAAUUGAAGAACUUGAAGUCUUGAUCAAAUGUUUUUUAAAGACUUAGGCUUUAUAUUAAAGCUGGCUUCUGCCCUAUGAUAUUUAAAUGGCAGUCUUAGCGUGAGGACAUUAAGGUAGCAAAAUAAUUUGUGCUUUUANUGAGUUCCAGUAUGNAUGAAGUUAUUGGUUAGUUCUAUUUAUGUUUUAUGUCUGAAUUUAAUUUUUAUUUAAGAAAAAAUAAAUAUAUUUCNACAAAGAUAAGUCUUCGGAAAUUCUGUUAUUACACANUUAAAUAAUUGUGUAAUAAAUUUUCUAGGGCAGAAUAUUAUAUAAUAGUANUUCACUAUAUUUAAUUUAAAGAAUUACUCCGGA